CGCGGGGUGGAGCAGCCAGGUAGCUCGCGAGGCUCAUAACCUCGAGGUCGCAGGUUCGAAUCCUGUCCCCGCCA
rnacentral:tRNA from 3 species